AGUCGACGAAAGAGGGAAAGAGCUUGCUCUUUCCGGAAUUGAGUGGCAAACGGGUGAGUAACACGUAAACAACCUGCCUUCAGGAUGGGGACAACAGACGGAAACGACUGCUAAUACCGAAUAAGUUCCAAGAGCCGCAUGGCCCAUGGAAGAAAAGGUGGCCUCUACCUGUAAGCUAUCGCCUGGAGGGGUUUGCGUCUGAUUAGCUGGUUGGAGGGGUAACGGCCCACCAAGGCGACGAUCAGUAGCCGGUCUGAGAGGAUGAACGGCCACACUGGAACUGAGACACGGUCCAGACUCCUACGGGAGGCAGCAGUGGGGAAUCUUCCGCAAUGGGCGAAAGCCUGACGGAGCAACGCCGCGUGAGUGAUGACGGCCUUCGGGUUGUAAAACUCUGUGAUCCGGGACGAAAAGGCAGAGUGCGAAGAACAAACUGCAUUGACGGUACCGGAAAAGCAAGCCACGGCUAACUACGUGCCAGCAGCCGCGGUAAUACGUAGGUGGCAAGCGUUGUCCGGAAUUAUUGGGCGUAAAGCGCGCGCAGGCGGCUUCCCAAGUCCCUCUUAAAAGUGCGGGGCUUAACCCCGUGAUGGGAAGGAAACUGGGAAGCUGGAGUAUCGGAGAGGAAAGUGGAAUUCCUAGUGUAGCGGUGAAAUGCGUAGAGAUUAGGAAGAACACCGGUGGCGAAGGCGACUUUCUGGACGAAAACUGACGCUGAGGCGCGAAAGCGUGGGGAGCAAACAGGAUUAGAUACCCUGGUAGU
rnacentral:rRNA from 1 species